GAUUAGAGAGUUUACUACGUAGAUCGAGUCAGAUGGUUCAAAGGCUUGGUUCAGGAACGCGGCAUUACUCCUUGCUUCAUGAAGUUGCAAUGCCAAUCAAGAAUGUCGUGUCUGGUGCAAAAGUUCAAGAGUCUUCACAUGGAAUUUGAAAUUUCUCAGAAAAUGAAGAUGUUGACACCAAUUCAAAUCGUGUCUGAGAGCGAAAACUAUGCAUUGACCAAGAAAGGAGUCUAUCUUUUAGAGGUUGCGUUGCUACCUUGGCAUGAAAGUUCCGGGGAAGAAUCUGAAUAGUUUCGCGGAGAAAGAAAUCGCCAAUGACCAGUGUGUGCUUCGUCUUCUCGAUGCACAUGAUUCCGACUCCAGUGAAAGAGGCGAUUUCUCUCGAAACCAACAAAUGACAUCGCUAAACAAAAAAUCCCAUCGUCUCUUCACUCUUGUCUGCCGUGAGAAACGUAGAGACACAUCUGCGAAGAAAAAACACAUAUCCUCAGUGAACCUUUUAUCUUUGCUUGUGCAUUAUCCUUUCGUGAUUUGCUCCAGACCUUCCGGCAAUCGCCAUGAAUCAGGGUCGAUGAAACUCCAAAAUGAACCUUCUUCGAUGGGAGGCUUUUGGCCUCGCAUUGGCCACCCUGACUUUAUUGAUGGGACUGGUUGGAAUCCUACUCACUUUCUUAUGGACACUUUGGCGGCAAACUCAAAUGAACAAAGCUAAUAAUGAUAUGGAUAAAGAAGACGAAACGAGCACCGAAGACUCCUUAUAUUACCCAACUCUGCCCAUGUACGACUCGAUUUCUUUGUACAACGACUUGCCAUUUAUUUGAAACUCCAAAAAAUAAACGAUGUUCCUCGUG